rnacentral:rRNA from 1 species
ACAAGCGCGAGAAGGCGAACGGGGGAUGCCUGGGCGUCAGGAGCCGAGGAAGGACGUGGCACACUGCGAAAAGCACUGGGGAGCCGUGUGCAGGCGGAGAGCCAGUGAUGUCCGAAUGGGGAAACCCGGCCGCGCGAACCGCGGUCACCGCGGGCUGAACACAUAGGCCCGACGGGGGGAACCCGGGGAACUGAAACAUCUCAGUACCCGGAGGAAAAGAAAGGAUUCCGCGAGUAGUGGCGAGCGAAAGCGGAGGAGCCCAAACCGCUGGCUACGGCCAGCGGGGUUGCGGCCCCGGCAGAAAGUGAGCAGUAGGGCAGCGGAAGCGCACUGGAAAGGCGCGCCGCAGAGGGUGAAAGCCCCGUACGCGACACCCGAGACUCACGGGCCGGAGAGCCAGAGUACCACGGGGCACGCUAACCCUGUGGGAAGCAGGGCGGACCACCGUCCAAGGCUAAAUACUCCUGACGACCGAUAGCGGACCAGUACCGUGAGGGAAAGGUGAAAAGAACCCCGGUGAGGGGAGUGAAAUAGAACCUGAAACCGUUCGCUGACAGACGGUGGGAGGGCCAGGGGGUGCCUCAGGGCGUCCCGGCCUGACCGCGUGCCUUUUGGAGAAUGAGCCGGCGAGUUAAUCGGUGUCGCGAGGUUAAGGCAGGCACAGCCGGAGCCGAAGCGAAAGCGAGUCUGAACAGGGCGUAGAGUGGCAUCGAUUAGACACGAAACCCGGUGAGCUACCCAUGGCCAGAGUGAAGGCGCGGUAAAGCGCGUUGGAGGCUCGAACCGGUUGCUGUUGCAAAAGCAUCGGAUGAGCUGUGGGUAGGGGUGAAAUGCCAAGCGAACCGGGAGAUAGCUUGUUCUCCCCGAAAUAGCUUUAGGGCUAGCGUCCGAGCAUGGCUGGCGGAGGUAGAGCACUGGAUGGACUUGGGGGCCGUCAGGUUACCCAACCCAACCAAACUCCGAAUGCCGCCAGCUUGAGCCGGGCAGUCGGACUGCGGGAGAUGAGUUUCGCAGUCGAGAGGGAAACAGCCCAGACCGACGGCUAAGGUCCCCAAGUGCAGGCUAAGUGGGAAACGAAGUGGUCGUGUUGAGACAGCCAGGAGGUUGGCUUAGAAGCAGCCAUCCUUUAAAGAGUGCGUAACAGCUCACUGGUCAAACGCGGCUGCGCGGACAAUGUAACGGGGCUCAAGUCUGCCACCGAAGCCACGGGGGGAAGGGUUCGCCCUUCUCUGGUAGGGGAGCGUUGUCAGCUCACCGAAGCGUCAGGGGAACCCGGCGUGGAGGGCUGACAAGUGAGAAUGCCGGCAUGAGUAGCGAGACAUGCGUGAGAACCGCAUGCGCCCAAACCCUGAGGUUUCCGACGGAAGGUCAAUCCGCGUCGGGUGAGUCGGGCCUUAGCCGAGGCCGAGAGGCGUAGGCGAUGGACAACGGGUGAAUAAUCCCGUACCGCUGGGCGGGAGCGAAGGGGGAACGCCGCCGCAAGGGUCAGCCCUCGAGUGGAAGGGGGGGUGCCAAGCUGGCAAGGUGAGGAAGGCCGCAGGCAAAUCCGCGGCUGGAGCUGAGCCAGUGAUGGCGGGCCUACGGGCCACAAGUGACCGGCGUGGGGGCCGAGAAACGCCUCUAAGCGAUGAACGCCCAGCGCCCGUACCGCAAACCGACACAGGUGGGGAGGUGGAGAACACCACGGCGCACGAGAGAACCCUCGUUAAGGAACUAGGCAAAAUGGCCGCGUAACUUCGGGAGAAGCGGCGCCCGGGCGACCGGGCCGCAGAGAAAUGGCUCUACCGACUGUUUAACAAAAACACAGGUCUCUGCUAACGCGCAAGCGGACGUAUAGGGGCUGACACCUGCCCGGUGCCGGAAGGUUAAGGGGAUGGGUCCGGGGGGGUAACCCUCCAAAGCUCAGAACCGAAGCCCCGGUGAACGGCGGCCGUAACUAUAACGGUCCUAAGGUAGCGAAAUUCCUUGUCGGGUAAGUUCCGACCCGCACGAAUGGCGU